GACGAACGCUGGCGGCGCGCUUAAUACAUGCAAGUCGAACGAGAAGCCAGAGCUUGCUCUGGUGGAAAGUGGCGAACGGGUGAGUAACACGUGAGAAACCUGCCCCAAAGACUGGGAUAAGCCUUGGAAACGAGGUCUAAUACCGGAUACCUUCUUUUUAUCUCCUGAUAAAGAGAAGAAAGCUCCGGCGCUUUGGGAUGGUCUCGCGUCCUAUCAGCUUGUUGGUGAGGUAAAAGCUCACCAAGGCAACGACGGGUAGCUGGUCUGAGAGGAUGUCCAGCCACACUGGAACUGAGAUACGGUCCAGACUCCUACGGGAGGCAGCAGUAGGGAAUCUUGCACAAUGAGGGAAACCUUGAUGCAGCGACGCCGCGUGCGGGACGAAGGCCCUAGGGUUCGUAAACCGCUUUCAGUUGGGACGAAAGUGACGGUACAACAGAAGAACGCCCCGGCCAACUAUGUGCCAGCAGCCGACGGUAAAGAGUAGUCA
rnacentral:rRNA from 1 species